CACAUCACAGAGAGUGAGUCCGAUGGGAUUUCACAGUGCCAGUCUCUUCGUUUCAUAGUCCAGCUGUGUCUCCAACCCUAACCCAGAAGAAGUGAAAAAAGGUUCCAAUUUGAAAUCACAGCUUUAGUAGGGAUCGUUUUGUUGGUGGGUCACUCACAAGUGCACUGCAAGUGUACGUGUAUUGUAAGUACUUGAAUUAAACAGUCAGGUAGGAAUUUUGCCACAAGAGAAGAAAAAACCCAUAAAGGGAAGAGGAAAGCCAUAAAGGAGAAGAAAAGAAAGCUUUUUGUUUGUUUGUUUGGUUGAAGGAUUGGAAAUGGAUGGAGGGUCAGGCCAUGGCUUUGUGCCUCCUUCGGCUUCUUUUGAUAAAUCUCGAGUUUUGGAUAUCAAGCCUUUGCGGAGUUUGGUUCCGGUGUUCCCUAAUCCGCCCCAAGCGCCCCCGUUUGUGUGUUCACCGCCCUUUGGGCCGUUCCCACCUGGGUUUACUCCAUUUUAUCCAUUUAGCGUGGCGCAAGGGCCUGAGAGUUCACCUGAGUUGAACCAACACAAAACCCCAACUGGGGCUACCAAUCAUGAAACCCCAAUAUCAGCUUCUGCUAAUUUGUUUAGGACUCCGCCCCAUUUUCCUGGGGUGGUGAAUGGAGAUGCGGAAACCUCCAGAGAAUAUGGUGUGCAAUUUCUAAAUGAAAAUUCGAAUAUGGGGGUAAAACAGGAUGGGUUCUUUGAUGACCCAAAGCGAGCAGCUCCUCAUUUGCGCGCCUCCAAUUCCUCUCGGAAGAAGGCUAAGAAAAGCAAAGAUGUGGAUAUUUCUUUAACAGUUGAUAAUGAGAAAGGAUCAAGUAAGAAUUUUGUUAUGAGAUUUGACUCACUUCAAUUGGAUGAUGGUAACAGGGAAAUGGUGAAUUAUGUCCUUAUGACAUUUGAUGCACUUCGAAGAAGACUUAGUCAAAUUGAAGAGGCUAAGGAAUCACCUGGUGGAGGUAUUAAACGUGCAGAUUUAAAAGCUGCCAAUAUUUUGAUGAGCAAAGGGGUUCGGACAAACAUGAGGAAGAGAAUUGGAGUUACUCCUGGUGUUGAGGUUGGUGACAUUUUCUUUUUCCGGAUGGAGAUGUGUUUGGCUGGAUUACAUGCUCAAUCUAUGGCUGGGAUUGACUACAUGUUUGUCAAGGGUGGUUUAGAAGAAGAGCCAGUGGCUGUAAGCAUUGUCUCAUCAGGAGGAUAUGAUGAUGAUGCAGAUGAUGCCGAUGUUUUGAUCUAUAGUGGCCAGGGUGGUAAUGUAAACAGGAAAGAUAAGCAAGUGGCUGAUCAGAAGCUAGAAAGGGGCAAUCUUGCUUUGGAUAGAAGCUUUCACCGAGCCAAUGAAGUAAGAGUUAUCCGAGGGGUGAAAGAUGUAGUUAAUCCAUUGUCAAAGGUCUAUGUCUAUGAUGGUCUUUAUACAAUCCAGGAGUCAUGGACGGAGAAAGGGAAGUCUGGUUGCAAUAUGUUCAAAUAUAAAUUGGUCAGAAUACCUGGGCAGCCUGGUGCUUUUGCUCAUUGGAAAUCAAUUCAGAAAUGGAAGGAAGGGUUCUCUUCAAGGAUUGGACUUAUUCUUCCAGACCUGACAUCUGGGGCAGAAAGUAUACCAGUUUCACUUGUAAAUGAUGUUGAUGAUGAGAAGGGACCUGCUCAUUUCACUUACUUUCCUACUCUCAGGUAUUCAAAAUCAUUUAACUUAAAACACCCUUCUUUUGGUUGCAACUGCCAGAACGCAUGCCUCCCUGGUGAUCUCAACUGCUCUUGCAUUCGGAAAAACGGUGGUGAUUUUCCAUAUACCUCCAAUGGGAUUCUAGUUGCCAGGAGGCCAUUAGUACAUGAGUGUGGUCCCACAUGCCCAUGCAUUCCUAACUGCAAGAACCGAAUGUCCCAGACUGGUUUGAAAGUACGCCUAGAAGUGUUCAAAACCAAUAAUAGAGGUUGGGGUCUCCGGUCAUGGGAUCCUAUCCGCACUGGUACUUUUAUUUGUGAAUAUGCAGGUGAAGUCUUGGACAAGGUUAAGGUUUAUCAAGAGAGGGAUGAAGGUGAAAGCAAUGAGUACCUCUUUGAUACAACCCAUGUUUAUGACAAUGCUUUCAAAUGGAAUCAUGAGCCUGGGUUACUGGAUGAGGAGCCAUCUGCUGAGCCUAAUGAGUAUUAUGAUAUCCCAUCUCCUCUAAUUAUAAGUGCAAAAUAUGUUGGAAAUGUAGCUCGAUUUAUGAAUCAUAGCUGCUCUCCUAAUGUCUUUUGGCAGCCGGUUCUAUAUGAACACAACAAUGAAUCCUUUCUCCAUAUUGCAUUUUUUGCAAUCAAACACAUUCCUCCUAUGACAGAGUUGACAUAUGAUUAUGGGAUGUUGCAAUCUGAAAAUUAUGAGGUCCAGAGUAACCAUACUCCAAAUGGGAAGAAAAAAUGCUUAUGUGGAUCGUCAAACUGCAGGGGCUAUUAUGGUUGACCAUUAAGAAAUGCACUCUGAUGGAGUCCACCAGAUUAAAAGUAGGUUCUUAUUUGGGUUGAAAGAAAAAAGGGGGAGUUUGCAAGGUUUCAAUUUGUGUUUAUGGGGCAUACCUUGAGGGGCACCUCAAGGCAAGGUGUUUUAUAGUAGUCUCGAAGCUAUAGCCCUAUUACAUGCAUAGUUGUGAAAGGCGCGCCAGGCUCGGGGCAGCUCGAUGCCACCCUCCGGCGCCUCGCCUGAAGGGAGGCAACGCCCCUUCACGAAGGCGCCGCUUAGGCGCGCAAGGCGCUCGCCUCCGGCAAGGCGCGAGGCGGUCGCCCGAGUUGCCUCCGACGGUCCGACCAGAAAGAUGAACUAAGGCAACAAACUCCUCAUGAGCCUGUUUACAAGUGCAGAAUUACUGAGCAGGUGCAUAUCAUCUCUUGGGUUACCAGCACCAAACUUGGUUAUAGCUAGGAUUAGACCUGCAAGCUUUGGUUUCUAAAAUUGUUAACUAUUUAGCAAAGUUAAUUGGUGCUUAAAAUAUUAACUUGUAAUACAGUAGAUGGUUGUUUCUAUCUAUGAGAAUAGCUGUUUUUAAUUGGUCUUAUAAUGGGUUUUCUGUUGUAAGAGUCCAGUUGUCUGGGAUUGUUAAUACCAAAGCUUCCCAAUGCUGUUUCAUCAGGUCAUGUAUGUAGUUGAUCAAAUCUUGACCACCUUGAUCGUGGGUUUUAGGGAGCUUAAUAUAUGUACAGGUUUAGGGUACUAAUUUGGCCAAUGUAUAUCACUCAUCUCCUCCCUCCCCUUGGAUUGGUCUUUUUGUAUUAAUUAUUGACUAAUGAAAUCUAUGACAAAAAGUUAAUGAAAUUCUCGGAA